AUGUCCCGCUCCUUCUUCCCGACCUGCUCCUCCCACAAAGCCGAGAUGGAGGAGAUGAGCAAGGAGCUGGACGGCCUGCGGUCCGAGGCGGAGGCCCGCGCCGCCGAGUGCCGCGCCAAGUCGGCCCUCGUGGACGGGCUCAGGCGGGAGGCCGCCGAGCAGGCCGCCCGGCUGCGGGAGGCCCGGGCGGAGGUCGAGCGGCAGGCGGGGGAGAUCGCCGCCAAGGGCCAGGAGGCCUCCUCCGCGAAGGAGGCGUGCCAGGGCCUCAGGGCCAGGUUCGCGGAGAAGGAGCAGGCCUUCCGGCACCUCUGCGCCGCCCACGACGGCCUCAAGGCCAGCCUCCGGGAGAGGGGCGAGGGCUGGGACGCCGAGAGGAGGGGGCUCGUCGCCGCGCUGGAGGAGUCCGAGGUGAAGCGGCUGGAGCAGGACGUGGCCAUGCGCUCCUGCAACGAGGAGAUGAGCCGGCUCAAGAGGCUCCUGUCAGAGAAGGAGAAGAGGUGCUCGGAGGCCGAGCAGAGGGCAUUGGCACAGAGGGAGGUCAUGAUGAGGGACGACACCCUCGCCAAGCUGGAGGAGGAGAAGGCCGCCAUCCAGGGCAAGCUCAAGUGGAAGGCGGAGCAGUUUCGGCACCUCGAGGAGGCCCUCAAGAAGGUCCGGGAUGAGUUCAGAGACGCCGAGAAGCAGUGGGGCUCCGACCGAUCAACCUUGGCUGAUCAGAUCGGCGCUCUCGAGACCAAGUUGGAUUCCAAGACGAGGGUAGCCGAGGAGUUCCGGUCGAGGCUCGAAAUGUGCAGCCAGGCGUUGGCCCACGAGGAAGGCCGCAGGAAGCUGCUCGAAGCAGAGAUGUCUGAUCUGAGGCACAUGUAUGGCAAUGUGGUUUCCGAGUAUGAGGAGGCCAGGUCGACCAUUGAGCUGCUGACGUCGAAGAGGGAUGGUGAGAUUGCGUCCUUGAGGAGCUCACUGGCUGAGAAAUCCACUUUGCUCAAUGAGAUGGAGUAUUGUAAGGCGCGCCUUGAUCAAGAGAAUGAGGACCUGCGGUCUUCGCUCAAGGAGUACCAAGAGGCUCAGAUCGGUGGUGCAGAUGCUGCAGGGAUGUUGAAGGGUCUGCAGGAGAAAUUCCGAGCUUUGGAGCAGACACACAGAAGCUGCACUGAGAAACUGAGUCGUAAAGAAACAGAGUGGAAAACAAAGAUGGGAAAGCUUGAGAAUGAUCUUGAUGGAUGCUUGUCACAGCUGGAUUCCAAAGAUAUGCUAAUCAGGCAGUUGCAGAAUGAGUUGCUGAGCAGCUAUAGCGCACUGGAGCUCCAAACUGUAGAGAACUUGGAAGCUUCGAUAGUCCGUCUUGCUGUAGAGGCAAAGUUUUCUGAUUCCUGCUCAUGCAUUGAUACUUUAAAACUGAAUAUGCAGCAGCGCUGUGAAUUUUUUGAGCAAAAUGUUGCUGCUGUGAAAAAUCAAUUGGAGGAAAAGAACCUUAUCAUUGCUCAGUCCCAAGCUGAACAGGCACACCAAUUGGAGGUAAUGGCGACACUGCGUGGAAGAAUUGAACAGCUAGAAUAUAUGGAGCAGGAACAUGAAAAGAUGCAAACGCAACUUGGGGCAUACAAAGAAAUGCUGGACAAUGCAUCAAGAAAUGUUCACUGCUUAAAAGAAGAAACUGCAGAGAAGGAAAAGAGCCUACAGGAGGAAUUGGGGAAAGCUUUAAGUGAUCUGGAUGAAGCACACCGUGACCUUGCUGAUCAGAAAAGCCAACUGAGCCAAUUCGAAAUCAGUCUCCAUCAGCAAAAGCAAGCGGUGGAGCAUUUGGAAAAGCUAAAGGUUGACUUGGAGACUGAACUCAAGGGUUAUAUGCAUGACAACCAUGUACUGAAGAGAGAUCUGGAUGUUGCUCUUAACGCCAAAAUUGGAACUGAGGUGUCACACAGGGAAGAAAGGGAGAAGUUACUAGGUGCUCUUAAUGAAACAAACUGCGCCCUUUCCGAUAGUAAGAGCAAGCUUUGUGAGAACGAAAUCACUCUUCAUCAGCAAAAGCAAGAAGUAGAUCAUCUGGAAGAGCUGAGAGUUGAUAUGGAGACUAAACUCAAGGGCUACGUUGAUGAAAAUGAUGUAUUGAAGAGGGAUCUUGAUGUCGCAACUAUUGCUAAAAUGAAAGCUGAGGAGAUCCACACAGAAGAAAAGGAGAAGCUAUUGUUUGCUCUCAAUGAAGCAAACUUUACUGUUUCUGAGAUGAAGGAAGAGCUGGACCAACUCAAGAUCAAUAUUCACCAGCAAAAGCAAGCAGUGGAGUGUUUGGAAAAAAUAAAAGUUGACAUGCAAACUGAACUCAAGGGCUAUGUGGAUGAAAACAAUGUAUUGAAGAAGGAUCUUGAUGUCGCGACUAUUGCUAAAAUGAAAGCUGAGGAGAUCAACACAGAAGAAAAUGAGAAGUUACUGUUUGCUCUCAAUGAAGCAAACUUUGCCGUUUCUGAGAUGAAGGAAGAGCUGGACCAACUCAAGAUCAAUAUUCAUCAGCAAAAGCAAGCACUGGAGAGUUUGCGAAAGUUAAAAGUUGACAUGCAAACUAACCUCAAGGGCUAUAAGGAUGAAAAUUGUGCACUAAAGAGAGACCUGGUUCUUUCUCUUGUUGCCAAAUUCGAAGUUGAGGGCACCCUUAGAGAAGAGAAGGAUAAGUUAUCAAGCAUAGUUGAUGAGAGAGACAGGAACAUCAAGGAGCUUCAGCAAUACAUCAGUGCGCUGGAAGAAGAUAAUUUGGGUCAAAAACUUGAUAUGGCCAGUCUUAUCAAGUCAGAGGUUAAGAAAUCCAUUCUAGAAGUGAACAACAGGUACUCUGAAAUUGUUGAAGUCUUUGACAAAAAGCUCUUGGAGCUUGAAACAAGGCUUGGCUUUUUUGAGCAGAAAUACACACGUAGAGAGCAUGAGAUCAUGGAAAUAUUUGAUCAAGAGGAGGCAGAUUGGUAUAUGCUAAUUGCAGAGAAGGAAGAUGCUAUUGCUGACAUUCAACAAAUUGUUGAGUCUGUUCAACUUAACAUAAAGCAUCUUCUUGAUGCUGCUGCAUCAAAGCUCUCAGAAGUUCAGCUUGAGGUCCAGCAGCUUUAUGGCUUUGCGGAAAAUCUGAAUUCUCUGAAUCUCAUCCAAGAGCAUGACAGUUAUUUCAAAGACAUGCUCAUUGAAGAGUGCCAAAGAGAGCUGGUGGCCCUGCAAAUGAAAUUAGUUCUAGAGAAAGAACAGUCUAGCAAUUUGAAGCAUGUUCUUGAGAAACUCAAAGCUGAAACCACUGCGGAGAUAUUAGAGAAGGCAAAGGAGCAUCUGGAAGUAGUAAAUAAGCUGAAAUAUUUGGAGGAAAGUAAAGAAAUAUUAGAAGAACAUUUGGAAGAGUUGAAAUCCAGAACAAAGGAUAUAUGUGAUGUCGCUGUUCAAGAAAGGAAACAGUUAGUUGAUGAGCUGAAUGGAAUCACCUGUACCAUUGGAGCAGCAAUUCAUGCAGAUGAAGAUCUGAAUGCAAGCUUGGCAAGGAUCAUGCAGAAAGCUAACAUUGAGGAACCUCUCUUGAGUUCUAGCAGCAAAGAAAUGCAUAGCUUAGAGAAACCAAACGUGAGAACUCAUUCGCCCCUGACCAGGAACAAAUCUGCAGCUCUCCCAGAUAGAAGAUUACCACUAAAAGAGAACAACUAUUAG
rnacentral:rRNA from 1 species